rnacentral:misc_RNA from 1 species
GUGCCAUUGAUAUGUAUCUUAAGGUAAGUUCCUGAACAUUCUCUAUCAUGCUGGCCUUUAAGUGCACUUAAUAAAUAUGAUUUUUAUUGUACUAUUUGUUUGCAUCAAGAAGUGCACAUUCAAGCAUAUAUAGAAGAAGAGCAUCAAAUAUCUUUACCCUUGAUCCUUGGCUUUGCUUGCAAGUUACAAUAACAAGCAACCAAUUAUCAUUUUGUCUAAUUUUUUUUUUCCUUUUCUUGCUUGUUUGAGUUAUUCUGACAAGCA